UAGGGAAUCUUCCACAAUGGACGCAAGUCUGAUGGAGCAAUGCCGCGUGAGUGAAGAAGGGUUUCGGCUCGUAAAGCUCUGUUGUUAAAGAAGAACGUGGGUAAGAGUAACUGUUUACCCAGUGACGGUAUUUAAUCAGAAAGCCACGGCUAACUACGUGCCAG
rnacentral:rRNA from 1 species